rnacentral:rRNA from 1 species
GAUGAACGCUGGCGGCGUGCUUAACACAUGCAAGUCGAACGGAAAGGCUCCUGCUUGCAGGGGUACUCGAGUGGCGAACGGGUGGGUAACACGUGGGUGAUCUGCCCUGCACUUCGGGAUAAGCCUGGGAAACUGGGUCUAAUACCGGAUAGGACGAUGGUUUGGAUGCCAUUGUGGAAAGUUUUUCGGUGUGGGAUGAGCUCGCGGCCUAUCAGCUUGUUGGUGGGGUAAUGGCCUACCAAGGCGUCGACGGGUAGCCGGCCUGAGAGGGUGUACGGCCACAUUGGGACUGAGAUACGGCCCAGACUCCUACGGGAGGCAGCAGUGGGGAAUAUUGCACAAUGGGCGCAAGCCUGAUGCAGCGACGCCGCGUGGGGGAUGACGGCCUUCGGGUUGUAAACUCCUUUCGCUAGGGACGAAGCGCAAGUGACGGUACCUGGAGAAGAAGCACCGGCUAACUACGUG